AUGAAGGUGAGAAGAUGGCCUAGGGAUCCCAAAUGUUCCUUCCGUGAUAAUAUUGAAUCAUCUCGGCAUUUGUUCUUCACAUGUCCUGUGGCUAGAGUGGUAUGGCGUUGUGUUGGGAUGGCUCUAGGGACUGAUUUAUGUCCGAGCAGUUACUGGCAAUAUUUCUCCUGGUGCCACACUUUCCUUCCUUCUGGGAGGAAAUACUAUACAGUUGGCCCCGUGGCCGUUUGCUGGGCUAUCUGGCUGGCUCGAAAUCGAGCCACUUUUGAGAAAAAACAUAUUAAGACACCGUUUGAGAUUGUGUUUUCCAUGUGCUCCUUUUUGUUAUAUUGGGCAGGUCUACAGCAAGGUGAAGGAGUCAAGGAGCUGCGCAGCGGGGCGGCGAUGGUCAGGUCAAGCACUAUGAACAUGAUGAAGAAGUGCGAGACGGUGAGGAGACCGAUCGAGGGAGAAUGA
rnacentral:rRNA from 1 species